rnacentral:lncRNA from 1 species
UGGUAUAUCCAGAGAGACGUUUUAAUGAACACCUGGCACAACACUGGCAAACAGGAACGAAGCCACAACGCGAACGCAGAGCGGACACAGGCCAGGCGGGGCUUGGAGCCAGGGCCACUCCGCAUCCCUCCCUAAGUUUGUUGUUAGUAAAGUGCUGUUCCUGGGUCUCAAAACCCGGGAAGGGAAGGGCAACAGUGAAAUUUAUUCACACACUGCAAUUGAAGAAUUCGCCUGAAAAGACACGCAGCGAGCAAAGGUGACCCCUCCUCAUUUGUGCAAGAGGAGGUGGGAAAGCGGACAGCCACCAAACACACACCAAACACCACACCCGGCGCGAGCCCCUCUCCUCCAGGAGACAGGCUUCCUCGCACUACUCGCGCUAAUGCGCUAAUCGGGUAGAGGAGUAAAAUUCCGUGAUACAAGUGACUUUUUUUUUUUUUAAAAGUCUAAAUGGAACUGAUCGUGGGAAUGAACUCUGUUCUCAGGCUUCGUAACGGUUUCUCAUCCGAUUGAUACACAGAGGAGUCGCAGGUGGAAAGUCGCCUUUAUUGUCUCUCUCUGGGGGCUCCCCAAACUUUACUUUUGGAAUCUGGAGCUUUGCUCUUUAAGCCUCCGCCUUUCUCUUUUGUGCGAACUAAUUACUUUAGCUGUCCCUACUAUCCUCCUCGACCCCGGGUCACAGCCACGAAAUGUAACCGUUUCUCAAAGAACCCACUAACCCCCUCUGUACCCCCCGCCCCCGCCGUAACAGCGAGUUUAUUCCCGGUGUCGUUUUCUUGUCCAUUUUCCUGACCACGGAAAUAAUGAGACAAAACAUGCUCCUUCCCUUACCAUCGAAGGCAAGUUUUCCUCAAAAGGCAGGCGGCUGCGGACUCCGGGGGACUGAAGCCUGGGCUCUGAAGUCCAUUUCUGUCACUCUGUUGGGCUUCUCCCGGAUUAGGUCGUCCAGGUCCUGCUCCAGAAAAGAGGUCGCCUAAAGUAGACUUGGGAAAUAAGAAAACACAAGCACGUUUGGAAUUCCUCUCCCACCCAGAGCUCCAACUUGGAUCAUUAACUGCCUGGAAACGGUGAAUGCCAUACAAAGGAUGCGAUGGCACAGUGAACGGCGCUUAUGCCAGAAGAAAACCAUGUAUGGGUGCAUUAUUAAAGUGCCAAGGAGAGUCAGGAG